rnacentral:rRNA from 1 species
GAAGCUGGAAUUGCUAGUAAUGGCAGGUCAGCAUACUGCCGUGAAUACGUUCCCGGGCCUUGUACACACCGCCCGUCACACCAUGGGAGUUGGGAAUGCCCGAAGUCAGUGACCCAACCGCAAGGAGGGAGCUGCCGAAGGCAGGCUUGAUAACUGGGGUGAAGUCGUAACAAGGUAGC